GCUUAAAAGUGAAGGCAGCAAGCAGAGUUAUGUGAAGGAAAAGCAGAAAACAGUAUCAUCAAUAUAAUGUAGAUGUUCAGUUCAUCUUCCAGUGACUACUGGUAGAGAAAAUACAUUAAUUCUUCAAAAACCAAGCGUAGCUUCCUCGGUGCCCGGAUUUUACAACUUGUGUAAUAUACAAAGUUCCUGGAAGCCCAGAGCAGAACUGAACUACCAACUCAGCAAUAGUGGUGGGUGUGCUUAAUCCACGAGCUAUCACUGAGAGCCACACCAUGCUUUCGUCACUCUUAUCUCAACUUGCUGUGAAAUUCCUGUGUAAUUGUUGUCAAAUCUGAUGGCUAAACUACGAAGUUGGCAGGAGGUGGUUUCUUAUCCUUUCAGUUCAUGUUAUGCAAGAAUCUGAAGACAGAACCUCUCCUUCCCUCACUUACUCCACUUGCCAUCCCACUGCUGGAUUGAACUCUUGGCUAAUUUUAGUCAUCCAUUUUUUGGGUGGUCACAACAGCUGCUCUUGUCUUAUCUACUCACUCCCCGGUGCUGGGAGAUGGCAACUUGCGAGGAGUCACGCUGCUGAGAUAAGCCUGAGACAGAAAAUUAUUUAAAUUGACAGUAAUCCUUCCUUGUGUGCAAACCAAGACUUGCUACUGCUGCUGAGGAUGUGCUGGAUUAAUUUCCUCUCUCUGCAUGAGCAGAGGCAGCGCCCUGCACACAGCAAAGCCAGGAAAACACCUCUGGCUGCAGUGCCUCAAAGCAGAGCUCUGUGCCGUGCCACUACUGCUGGGGCUCUUGCCAUGUAAACGGUGACAUCCUGAGCUAAGAGAUAAUGGAUACAGGGACAGGAUAUCUCUUGAAAUCCCAGGAAUGCUAUGAUAAAUACAGCAGCACCUGAAUAUCUUCCUGAAGCAUCCAGGCCUCCUUUCUUUCUUAACUUUAUUUUGAAAGUUUCUUGGAGUAGAACUGAACUUACUUUAAACAAUAAGCAAAUUUUGCACUCAAGAGGAGCCCUGGGCUGGUGGAUUGGGUGGUUCAAGGGGCCAAGCAGAGCUUUCCACUUGUUCCCAGCUCUGCUGGAAGCCAUCGCUGCCUCAGCUUGGUAGAGGCGUAACUCCAGGUCAGCGUAAGCAAACAUUCUAUUUGCAGGUCUCUCCCCUCACACACCAUUGUGUCACAUCCACGCUAAGAUGGGUGUAAAGUGACUUACAGUGGCACCAUAGCAUUUUGUAGCUGCUGUUGUUCUAAAACAUGAACCAUCUUCAGUCAGAACAAUGCAUUCCCUUAAAAAUGCAGCCGUGGGCCCUUGAGAUUUCUUAGAGUGGCUCACCACUGUAUGGAAUAAACACGUCAGCAGAAUUGUCAGACUCCUACUGCAUUGUAUAAGAGCCUUUGAAUACUUUAAGUGUAUACAGGGACCUCUGUAUGAUUGUGAAAGCAUUAAAAGAAAAGUCAGGCUGAAAUGUCUGUGGCUCACCUCGAACUGGAUGACAGAAAGUGCUCUAAGUUUUCAGCUUUAAUCACAGUGUGUCCUUUUUACCCUCUCUCUCAAAACACAAGUCACAUGGUAAGAUGUCAAAAUAUAUAUGUAAUGAAAUGAAAUAUAAAAUAGGGCUGAGUCAAGUUACAUUUUAAAUCCAAGGAGCUCUAGUUCAAGGUCACAUAAUUUACUCAGUUUUAGCCAUAAAUCUCCAGAUCAAUAACAGAGGUUGAAGCCGAUAAAAAAUAUUUAACCUUUGGCAAACACCUCUAUCUGUUUUGUGUAGACCUUGAAAGCACAAAAUCCCAGCUCUGUGUGUUUGCAGUUACACAUGCCUACAGUUUUUACCCAUGGAAGAAACAGAAAGGAUGAUGUUUAUGUUAUGCAAAAUGUAAAAGAUGGAAUGAACAUUUAUGCCAAAAUAUUCUGCUACUCAAAAUUCUUUGUUUGUGUGUAUUUGCAACUCACAGCUGUAAUUUAAAUAUAUAUAUAUGUGUA